CUCCGACAGUCCUUUGCUGCACCUGGUCGAUUGAUAUGAAAUAAAAACACAUGACCAAGGUUGUAGAUCACCUAUAAAUCGCUGUGUUGGUGCCUGUUUGGAAGUUUCCCUCUUCAGCUGCGUGUGUGUGUGUGUGUGUGUGUGUGUUGACAAUUACUUUUUCACCAGGGAGUGCAUCUCCUUGAGUCGUAUCCGUUGAAGGCAAAUGGAGGAAGAGCAGCUCUUUUGCAGUUUGGAAAUUUCAUCCAGUUUUUGGAGAUGGUUACUUACCUGAGCAUGCUGAUACUCUUCUUCCAGACAGUCCCACUGCUGCAGAACAUCUGUUAAACUUUGCGGCGUGUUGAGAGUCAUUUGCUGUUCCCUUAAAUGUACAGUAUUUGUUUUAAAUGUAAAUGUAAUGAUUUGUCCACAUUAAACGACUAGUACAUGA